rnacentral:antisense_RNA from 1 species
GGUAACCAUAAAUGGUUGCAGGGCUUAAUGUUGGUUCGGUGACAACUCGCACAGUUUCGGUUGCAGCGUCAUACAACCCACCGAAAUACAUUGCUUUUGCAACGAAGAGUAAUGCUCCAAAUCCCAAUAGGAGCAAGUGAUGACCGAGAAUCAUACCCAGCUGUUUGGGGUCUUCCCA